CGCGUAGGCGGGGAUACAAGUCAGGUGUGAAAUCUAUGGGCUUAACCCAUAAACUGCACUUGAAACUGUAUCUCUUGAGUGUCGGAGAGGUAGACGGAAUUCCUAGUGUAGCGGUGAAACGCGUAGAUAUUAGGAGGAACACCAGUGGCGAAGGCGGUCUACUGGACGAUAACUGACGCCGAGGCGCGAAAGCGUGGGGAGCAAACA
rnacentral:rRNA from 1 species